GGCGGGGCUCGCAGCGCGCCCUCAGGAACGCUCUACCCUCUUUUCGGCGGCAUUGAGGCAGCAGGAGAAGGAGGAGGGGAAGUGUGCCAGGUGGCGGGCAGAGAGAUAAGACGGGCAGCUUCUCGAGAAAGUGUGCCACUCUCCUAGCAGAGUCGCGCGGUCGUCUCUCGUUUUGCCAAAAGUUUAAGGGACGACCAAGGCGCGGAACAAAAAUAAAACGAGCCCAUCCUCCAGCUGCCCUCCGAGCCGGGCAUGUGCGAGCGAUGGCGGGGGAGGAGCGAGAAGGGGGAUUUCCUCUCAGCAUCCGCUCCAACGUCUCCCCCUUGUCCCCUUUCCUGAGUCUUCAGGCCGGGCCAGAAGUAAAUGCACAAUAAGUCUCAAGAGCUGUACACGUAGCUCGCCCCGCCUCCAGAAUUUGCCGUUCAAUCUGGUGCGAUCCCACUAUCGUCUCAAAUGCCUGCAGUUCUUAAAUCCCAACGUGUCCGUUUCUUCCUUCCCAUAUUUCACGCGAAAGAAAGCAAAGUAUAUCGACUUUAGUUGAAUAGUCACCCGAAUAGCUGCUUUGAGAUGAGGAAUCCAGGUGAACUAGGUCAAGUGCCUUGCCCAUCCAUGGUCACACAGCUACAAAUAGUGCUUUUGGACUCUGAUUCCCAUGCCAGAUGGAAGCCAGAAUGGGACAGGACUGUUCCUAUUCGAAAGCCUUUAAGGGCCAACUAAAGAAAGGUAAAGGACCCUUUGAAUCCUUAUAGAAAGGUUUUUCAGAGUAAAGCUGCUCAGUCUUGAAGAUUCUUCAUUUGCACUUAUGAAAUCUGACUGGAAAGGAAGGUCCAGAUUCAGUCAUAAUUAUUUGUGCACGUCUCUGGCCAUGUAUAAACUUGUAGUCACCUUUUUUUAUUGUUUAUAAUAAGCCUUAAGCACUGCCAAUAAAAGUCCUCUAUUUUAAUGACUAUAAGUCACUUUCUAGUUGUGUAGGACUAACUCAAUUUCAAAUACACUAGGCUGUUUGUGACCCAAAAAGCAGAAGGGCUGAGAAUUUUCUGAAGGGAAGGGAGA